rnacentral:rRNA from 1 species
GCCCAGAUCUACAGCUAAGGUCCCAAAGCAGGUUUAAGUGGAAAAGGAUGUGGAGUUGCGAAAACAGCCAGGAUGUUGGCUUAGAAGCAGCCACUCAUUUAAAGAGUGCGUAAUAGCUCACUGGUCGAGUGACUCUGCGCCGAAAAUUCAACGGGGCUAAAACCUGCACCGAAGCUUAGGCAUCCGCAAGGAUGGGUAGGGGAGCGUUGUGUACGAGGCGAAGCAUUAGCGAAAGCGGAUGUGGAUUGUACACAAGUGAGAAUGCCGGAAUAAGUAGCGCGAAUGAUGUGAGAAUCAUCAUGGCCGAAAGCCUCAGGUUUUUGGAGGAAGGUUCGUCCGCUCCAAGUUAGCCGGGAGCUAAGGUGAGGCCGAAAGGCGUAGCCGAUGCACAUACGGUAGAGAUUCCGUAGCCGCCGAAAGAUUUAAGCAGGGGGACACAUUUGAAGUGUUGGUGCCGGGUGUUGGUUUACCCGGUCGAAAGGGACUGAAAUUUAGUAGGGAAGUCCAGCAUGGAGAGUGGCGAGAAAAGCCCUGUGUAUAUCUAAGGCGCCCGUACCGCAAACCGACACAGGUAGGUAGGAAGAAGAUUCUAAGGCCAACGGGAGAAGGGUUGUUAAGGAACUCGGCAAGUUGACCCCGUAACUUCGGGAGAAGGGGUGCUCAUGAAAGUGAGCCGCAGAGAAUAGGCCCAAGCAACUGUUUAGCAAAAACACAGGUCUGUGCUAAAUCGAAAGAUGACGUAUACGGGCUGACACCUGCCCGGUGCUGGAAGGUUAAGGGGAUGUGUGCAAGCACUGAACCGAAGCCCCAGUAAACGGCGGCCGUAACUAUAACGGUCCUAAGGUAGCGAAAUUCCUUGUCAGGUAAGUUCUGACCCGCACGAAUGGCGUAAUGAUUUGGGCACUGUCUCAACAGCCCGCCCGGCGAAAUUGUAGUACCGGUGAAGAUGCCGGUUUCCCGCGACAAGACGGAAAGACCCCAUGGAGCUUUACUGCAGCCUAAUAUUGGGUUUCGAUAUUACAUGUACAGGAUAUGUGGGAGACAUGGAAGCACGGGCGUCAGCCUGUGUGGAGUCAGCCUUGGGAUACCACACUUGUGAUAUUGGAAUUCUAACCUGCGGCCCUGAAUCGGGUCGGGGGACAUUGUUAGGCGGGCAGUUUGACUGGGGCGGUCGCCUCCGAAAAAGUAACGGAGGCGUUCAAAGGUUGGCUCAGCUUGGACGGAAACCAAGCCAAAGAGUGCAAACGCAUAAGCCAGCCUAACUGCGAGACUGACGGGUCGAGCAGUAACGAAAGUUGGAGUUAGUGAUCCGGCGGUAUGUGAGUGGAAAUGCCGUCGCUCAACGGAUAAAAGUUACCCUGGGGAUAACAGGCUGAUCUCCCCCAAGAGUCCACAUCGACGGGGAGGUU